AUUGAACGCUGGCGGCAGGCCUAACACAUGCAAGUCGAGCGGAUGAAGGGAGCUUGCUCCUGGAUUCAGCGGCGGACGGGUGAGUAAUGCCUAGGAAUCUGCCUUGUCGUGGGGGAUAACGUCCGGAAACGGGCGCUAAUACCGCAUACGUCCUGAGGGAGAAAGUGGGGGAUCUUCGGACCUCACGCUAUCAGAUGAGCCUAGGUCGGAUUAGCUAGUUGGUGGGGUAAAGGCCUACCAAGGCGACGAUCCGUAACUGGUCUGAGAGGAUGAUCAGUCACACUGGAACUGAGACACGGUCCAGACUCCUACGGGAGGCAGCAGUGGGGAAUAUUGGACAAUGGGCGAAAGCCUGAUCCAGCCAUGCCGCGUGUGUGAAGAAGGUCUUCGGAUUGUAAAGCACUUUAAGUUGGGAGGAAGGGCAGUAAGUUAAUACCUUGCUGUUUUGACGUUACCAACAGAAUAAGCACCGGCUAACUUCGUG
rnacentral:rRNA from 1 species